AACGCGAAGAACCUUACCUGGGCUCGAACGGCUUAAGACAAUCCUUGGAAACAGGGACUUCUCGCAAGAGACUUGAGUCGAGGUGCUGCAUGGCUGUCGUCAGCUCGUGUCGUGAGAUGUUGGGUUAAGUCCCGCAACGAGCGCAACCCUUGUCCUGUGUUGCCACUCCCGCAAGGGAAGCACUCUCAGGAGACCGCCAGCGAUAAGCUGGAGGAAGGUGGGGAUGAUGUCAAGUCAUCAUGGCCUUUAUGUCCAGGGCUACACACGUGCUACAAUGGACGGUACAAAGCGCUGCAAACCCGCGAGGGGGAGCUAAUCGCAAAAAACCGUUCUCAGUUCGGAUCGCAGGCUGCAACUCGCCUGCGUGAAGCUGGAAUCGCUAGUAAUGGUGUAUCAGAAUGAUACCGUGAAUACGUUCCCGGGCCUUGUACACACCGGCUAC
rnacentral:rRNA from 1 species